UACGAAGGGGGCUAGCGUUGCUCGGAAUUACUGGGCGUAAAGCGCACGUAGGCGGCUUUCUAAGUCGGGGGUGAAAUCCUGGAGCUCAACUCCAGAACCGCCUUCGAUACUGGAAAGCUCGAGUCCGGGAGAGGUGAGUGGAACUGCGAGUGUAGAGGUGAAAUUCGUAGAUAUUCGCAAGAACACCAGUGGCGAAGGCGGCUCACUGGCCCGGUACUGACGCUGAGGUGCAAAAGCGUGGGGAGCAAACAGG
rnacentral:rRNA from 1 species